rnacentral:snRNA from 1 species
UAAACCCGUAAGGCGCAAGG